rnacentral:misc_RNA from 1 species
ACCUCUCUCCUUCCCCAAGACCACCAACCUCCCAGCCACCAUGGCGGACAAGGAGCAGGUUAGACCGCUAGCCCCUGCCUCUAUCCGCCCUCGUAGUGAUGACGAAGAAACCGCCCUAUACCUUAAAAAAUCACACCGAACAAAGUGCAUCAAGUGUUGUGGUUGCAUAGCUGCUCUCUUUGUCAUCCUUGUCAUAGUACUCAUAAUCUUGAUUUUCACAGUUUUCAAAGUCAAAGACCCCAUCAUAAAAAUGAACAGUGUCAAGGUCAAUAAGCUCGACCUCAUCACCGGCACGACGACGCCACGC